rnacentral:rRNA from 1 species
UGGGGAAUAUUGCACAAUGGGCGAAAGCCUGAUGCAGCGACGCCGCGUGAGGGAAGAAGGCCUUCGGGUCGUAAACCUCUGUCCAAGGGGAAGAAAAAAAUGACGGUACCCUUGGAGGAAGCCCCGGCUAACUACGUGCCAGCAGCCGCGGUAAUACGUAGGGGGCAAGCGUUAUCCGGAAUUACUGGGCGUAAAGAGUGCGUAGGUGGCCACUCAAGCGCAGGGUUUAAGGCAACGGCCUAACCGUUGUCAGCCUUGCGAACUGGGUGGCUUGAGUACAGGAGAGGAAGGCGGAAUUCCUAGUGUAGCGGUGAAAUGCGUAGAUAUUAGGAGGAACACCGGUGGCGAAGGCGGCCUUCUGGACUGUCACUGACACUGAGGCACGAAAGCGUGGGUAGCAAACAGG